CCUACGGGAGGCAGCAGUGGGGGAUAUUGCACAAUGGGGGGAACCCUGAUGCAGCGACGCCGCGUGGGUGAAGAAGCGCCUCGGCGCGUAAAGCCCUGUCAGCAGGGAAGAAAAUGACGGUAUCUGAAGAAGAAGCCCCGGCUAACUACGUGCCAGCAGCCGCGGUAAUACGUAGGGUGCAAGCGUUACACGGAUUUACUGGGUGUAAAGGGGGCGCAGACGGCGAGGCAAGCCAGGGGUGAAAGCCCGGGGCCGAACCCCGGGACUGCAUUUGGAACUGCGUGGCUGGAGUGCAGGAGGGGUAGGCGGAAUUCCUGGUGUAGCGGUGAAAUGCUUAGAGAUCACGAAGAACUCCGAUUGCGAAGGCAGCUUACUAGACUGCAACUGACGUUGAUGCGCGAAAGUGUGGGUAUCAAACAGGAUUAGAUACCCCAGUAGUC
rnacentral:rRNA from 1 species